rnacentral:rRNA from 1 species
AGUGAACGCUGGCGGCGUGCUUAAGACAUGCAAGUCGAACGCGGUCUUCGGACUGAGUGGCGCACGGGUGAGUAACACGUAACUGACCUACCCCCAAGUCGCGACUAACCAGCCGAAAGGAUGGCUAAUACGUGAUGUGAUGAUCCGCUGUGGCGGAUCAUUAAAGGCUUGAUCGCUUGGGGAUGGGGUUGCUCUCCAUCAGCAAGUUGGUAAGGGAAAGGCUUACCAAGGCAACGACGGAAAGCCGGCCUGAGAGGGUGGCCGGCCACAGGGGCACUGAGACACGGGUCCCCCUCCUACGGGAGGCAGCAGUUAGGAAUCUUCCACAAUGGGCGCAAGCCUGAUGGAGCGACGCCGCGUGAGGGACGAAGGUUCUCGGAUCGUAAACCUCUGAACCAACGACGAAAGACCCGACAAGGGAGAUGACGGUAGUUGGGUAAUAGCACCGGCUAACUCCGUGCCAGCAGCCGCCGUAA